AUAUUUUCCCCUUUACAGCCAAUAUUCCCUAUUUAUACAAGUCCAAGCUAAUUGUAUAAAUAGGGAUUAUUGGCUGUAAAGGGGAAAUUAU